CAAUUUGCGUCAUGAAUUAUCUCGCGUUGGCAGGGGGAAUGGUGUCUCUGGUUCGGAAACAUUAUACAACCUAUGAUCAUGCACAUGGGUUUCGUUGAAUAAAUGAGGGGAUGCCGUAUUGCCCGGGUAUGGUUGAGACUUUUCCAAAAUGGGUCGAAAAUUUAUGGCAAUGGAUCACAUUUUGCGAACAGGUUAAUUGAUAAAAUAGAAUGCAUGUUUCACAUUUUAUUUGGGAGACCAUUGCUCCUACCGUCCACAAUCUGCAGGACUGGUAGCAAGUAUGAAAUUAUAUGGUUAAAAUUCAAUUAAAGAAUUUGAAUUGAAAUUGGAUUGGAAUUGAAUUGAUUCAUAUGUUAAUAUUACGAGAAUGGUGUCUUCUUUGUUUGAAAUAUUGUUUGGGAGACCAUAUAAAUUAUUGAUAUUUUCGACACAAUUGUGAACUGGGAAAUGAAGCUAAUUCGGCUGACUAUAUGUGAGUAAGUUU